CACGAUGGUCCAGUGUGCCUUUAUUGAAGAGAUUUUCUUGGCUUUCCCAGUGGGCUUCAAUUUUCAUUGCGGAGCCUCAGAGAGGCCCUCUCUGUUGUUCACUUCUCCUCUAUCUUCUGGGGCUCAUAACCAGGGCCUUUAUGGCCCUCCCUCGUGGCGCCUCUGCUGUGCGGAUUCAGAUACUGUGCAGCUCAGCUGCAAUUUUCUUUCUUUUGGUAGGGACUGAACUCAGGACCUUGCGCUUUCGAGGCAGGCGCUAGCACCACUGAGCUAAAUCCCGGCCCUUGCAAUUUCUUCUUGUAACUAAUCUGUGGGAAGACAUUCAGAUCCUGCUCAAGAUAUUUUAGGUUCAGCUUAUUUUUCCUGCACAGCCAAGAAAUCAAGCAUUUCUCCAAGGGGACCUGGUUUUUUAUGUGGUAUGUUAGUCAGCUUUCUAAGGCUGUGAAAAAAUACCCUGGGAAAAAAACUUAAAAGGAAGAGAGAAAAGAGAUUCAUUUUGGCUCAUGGUUUCAGUCAGUCAUGGUCACUUAGCGCCAUUGUUUCUGCGUUCUGCAGAAGAUAUGGCCAAGCAAAGUUGCUUACCUAAUGGCAUCCAGGAAGGAGGUGGGGGGGGGGAGAGAGAAUGGAGAGGAGAGGAGAAGAGGAGAGCAGACGAGAGGAGAGGAGAGAGGAGAAGAGAGGGCAAUAGGAAUAGGGUUAAGGAGAGGGAGAGGGAGAGAGGAUGAGAGGGAGAAAAAGAAGGAGGGAGGGAAGGAGAAAGAGAAAGAAAUGAAUGGAUCCUCCUGAUGCAGUCACAUUACAAAAGUUCAUCAGCUGGCAAGUAAUCCUCCAGCACAUGGCCUUUGGGGAACUUUCUGGAUCUAAACCACAAUCACAUGUAGGGCAUGAUAUUUGGAAACUAAAGACUGGUUACAGGUCUUUGAGAAGAUGGAAGAAUGGUAAGCAGCAAUAAAUCAGCCUCUCCAAGAUUAAAAAUCCAGACAAUGGCAAAUAACAGCUUGAGAAGGGAAAGAAGCUGGGGCCCAGGAAGGAUCUGAAGGGAAAACCGAAGCCUACAAAUUGAAGAGUAAGACCACAACACAGAAGAAGGAAGGGGCAAUCUGCACCUUCUCCCCAGCUACUGGCUCAUGGCAAGAGAAAGAAAGAUCAAAUCGAGAGAAAGGAAGAUGGAAUCUACAGAGACACAGUGAAAAGAGUUGCCUCCAGAGGCCUCCAGGGAGAAAUGCACCGGUGAAACAGAACAGUGGAUGCCAUGCACUGCAACAGCUGGUGAGUGACUCCAGCCCAAGUGUUGCCCUGUGCCCUGGAGAGGGUGCCUGGUCAGAUGCCAUUUUAGUGAGGGCUCAACUGGACCUUGACUCAUAGCAGCCAUGGGUUGGCUUCAUCUCAGAGCUUCCAGUACUAAACUCCCACAGUGACUGGGUGAGGGACAUCCAUGUGGGAGCUGGGUAAGGCUGCCAAAAGAUACCCAGAGUGUCAUAAACUAAACAACUCAGGCCCCAACCCCACAACCAGAGGCCAGGUUCAACUUGAAUUUCUGUGGAUUUGGAAGUCCCAAACUGGCACAUUGCCCUAAUACUACUGCCAGGCUGUUGGGAUUAUCCAGCAUGAAUCUGGAAUCUGAAUGCCUCCUUUGUCUACCAGUGACAGCAGAGUCACACUUUGAAUUGGACACUUCCACAAAACUGUAGACCCCAAAAGACAACUACAGGCUUGAAAUCACAGAGAAAUUUCUCUCUUUUUUCUUUCAUAUUGUUCCUUUUUAAAAUUUUUGUUCAUUUCAGGUUUUCUUUGAUUACUCAUUUUUCUGAGUGUGAACAUUGUUUUUUGUUCUGUUUUGUUCUUAUUUUUGUUUUCUCCUUCUUUCCUU
ensembl:lncRNA